AACGUAGGUUCCGAGCGUUAUCCGGAUUUACUGGGCGUAAAGCGCGUUCAGGCGGUUUGGCAAGUCGGGCAUGAAAUCUCUGGGCUCAACCCGGAGAGGUUGUCCGAUACUGCUAAACUGGAGGGCAGUAGAGGGUGGUGGAAUUCCGGGUGUGAGUGGUGAAAUGACGUAGAGAUCCGGAGGAACACCAGUGGCGAAAGCGGCCACCUGGACUGCACCUGACGCUGAAACGCGAAAGCUAGGGGAGCGAACGG
rnacentral:rRNA from 1 species